rnacentral:rRNA from 1 species
GACGAACGCUGGCGGCGUGCUUAACACAUGCAAGUCGAACGAAGAGCGAUGGAAGCUUGCUUCUAUCAAUCUUAGUGGCGAACGGGUGAGUAACGCGUAAUCAACCUGCCCUUCAGAGGGGGACAACAGUUGGAAACGACUGCUAAUACCGCAUACGAUCUAACCUCGGCAUCGAGGAUAGAUGAAAGGUGGCCUCUACAUGUAAGCUAUCACUGAAGGAGGGGAUUGCGUCUGAUUAGCUAGUUGGAGGGGUAACGGCCCACCAAGGCGAUGAUCAGUAGCCGGUCUGAGAGGAUGAACGGCCAAAUUGGGACUGAGACACGGCCCAGACUCCUACGGGAGGCAGCAGUGGGGAAUCUUCCGCAAUGGACGAAAGUCUGACGGAGCAACGCCGCGUGAGGGAUGACGGCCUUCGGGUUGUAAAGCUCUGUUAAUCGGGACGAAAGGCCUUCUUGCGAAUAGUUAGAAGGAUUGACGGUACCGGAAUAGAAAGCCACGGCUAACUACGUG